AUUGAACGCUGGCGGCAGGCCUAACACAUGCAAGUCGAGCGGAGCGGCGGACGGGUGAGUAAUGCCCAGGAAUCUGCCCGGUAGUGGGGGAUAACGUCCGGAAACGGGCGCUAAUACCGCACACUAUCAGAUGAGCCUAGGUCGGAUUAGUUGGUUGGUGGGGUAAAGGCCUACCAAGGCGACGAUCCGUAUCUGGUCUGAGAGGAUGAUCAGUCACACUGGAACUGAGACACGGUCCAGACUCCUACGGGAGGCAGCAGUGGGGAAUAUUGGACAAUGGGCGAAAGCCUGAUCCAGCCAUGCCGCGUGUAUGAAGAAGGUCUUCGGAUUGUAAAGCACUUUAAGUUGGGAGGCGUUACCCGCAGAAGAAGCACCGGCUAACUCCGUGCCAGCAGCCGCGGUAAUAC
rnacentral:rRNA from 1 species